GUGGAUUAGAUACCCGGGUAGUCCACGCCCUAAACGAUGUCAACUAGUUGUUCGGUGAGGAGACUCAUUGAGUAACGCAGCUAACGCGUGAAGUUGACCGCCUGGGGAGUACGGCCGCAAGGUUAAAACUCAAAGGAAUUGACGGGGACCCGCACAAGCGGUGGAUGAUGUGGAUUAAUUCGAUGCAACGCGAAAAACCUUACCUACCCUUGACAUGCCAGGAACUUGCCAGAGAUGGCUUGGUGCCCGAAAGGGAGCCUGGACACAGGUGCUGCACGGUCGUCGUCAACU
rnacentral:rRNA from 1 species